rnacentral:lncRNA from 1 species
AUCCUUCAUCUUUAUGCUGCUCCACUCCAGCUCACAGCCCCUCCAACUGGAUGGAGCUCUUCGAAGGGAGGGGCAUUUCAGAGGAGGGUCUCAGGGAUAGCCCCUUUGUGGGGCUGGGCCACCAGGUUGGGGAGAGUGGAGCUGCUGGAACUCUGGAGGGACUGGCUGAGCCAGCUUUCCCAGUGCACCCCUCUGGGAGGGCAGGCUCUCGGUGUAGGCUGCCCAUCUCCUCGCUCUCCUCUGGCACUGCUCCUAUGCCCCCUUGGUUAGCCUGGGAGCCCAUACUACCCAGACUUGGGGUCAAUAAGCAGAGGACCUGUAAGGAGUCCUUGAUGGGAUGUACAGCACUGCCCAACCCUGCACAAGGUAGGGUAUUGCUGUUUGUUGUGUGGUGAGCUGCCUGCUUAUGGCUGGGUUUGGGCCUCCAUCCAUUUUUAUUUUCUUUGAGUUGGUCUCUGGGCAAAGCUUCUCCCAGCAGGCGGAAUCUGGCCUGGGGGCUCCAGCUUCUCUCACCUGCCUGGCCUCCCAAGAGCUAGAGAGCUCCACAUCUCAACUCAUCUAUAACUCAUUAGCAGAACCAUCAGCUAGCAGAAACUAGGAAUAAUAAAAAUGUGCCGUAUUUUCACAAGCUGGAUGCCAGGCUUGGUGGUCAGGACACAGACUGCUUUCAGCUCCCACAUGCCCCUCCUGCUAGCUGCUUUGUGCAGAGUAGUGGCUACAUGGCUGCAGGUGAGAGCCCUGCCUGUGAACAGGCCACCAGGAUGCUGGGACAUACGAGUUGAUAACCCAUGGGCUCCUGAGAGCAGAGAUUGUGACUUACUCAUCUUUGAUGUAGCCAAGUUCUAACAAACCUAAAUGUGCAGCCAUUUGUAAGAGAGGAUCAUGGAAUGAAUACGGGCAUUGAGUCAAGCAGUCUGUGUUCCACUGGCGGUGUGACCUGGGGCAGGCCAUUUCACCUCACUGAGCCUUAGUUUCCUCACCUGUAAAAUGUGAAAAAUAUCACCUUCCUUACCAGGCUUUUCUGAGGAUUUAAUGACAUCAUGUUCAGUGCCCAGUAUGGGUGGAUAAUACCCAGGAGUUUCCUCCUCUUCUCCUCCUAAGUUGACUUGAUGCCCCCCGCUGAAGAUCAUGGCUGAACUGGCUCAAUUCGGAUCCAGGACUCCUGGCUUUGUCUCUUCCCUAGUUGCCCACCACACCCAUGGACACCCUUAGGUAGUUUAUCCUUUUGGGACAACUGGAUUUAUUAGAAAAGGGUAUUCUGGGGUGGAAUAAGGCCCUUUUCAGUCCCCAUGGAGCCUUUUUGGAAGAUGAAGUUCUCAAACCCACAAGAGAAUUCAUAAGACGAGCACACCACCCACAGUUAGGUUUCCCUCUCAAGUGCUUUAUCUCCACGUGGGGCAAAUAGCUCUUUGUCUGCAUAUGUUAUUGGAGCUUUUGGAGUCCAGCCUUCAGAAGAGCUCUAAUUUUUGGAUUCAUAUCAGUUUAUUAGAGAAGCCUAGUUCUAAGGAUUAGCAAAUGGGUAGGUGCUCAGCCAGCCCAGAACAAGCAGAGCCAUGACAGAAGUUUCUGGAAUCUCACAGAGUCGGUGUCUUCAUGGACUCAGGGGGCCUAAAUCCAAUAGCCUGGAUUUGUCACUUUCCCUUAUUCCCUUAUCAAACUCUUCCCUUUUGGACAUCAGAGAAGGAAAGUACUUCCUGUAAGGGGGCAAUUUGCAAAGCUUCAUGGAAGUGGCAUUUGAGUGUGGCCUUAAAGGAUGUGUAGGAUUGGGAACCAUAGAUAUUUAGAGGAAGGCAUUCCUGGCAGAAGGAACAGCAGCAAAACACAGAAGUGGAAAUUAGUAGCAGCAUUAAUGGAGAAUAAUUUGGGGAAUAAGAUAUACAAAUGGAAUAAUAAAAAUAGCAUUAAUUAAACAUUGUGGGAGUCAUUCUGUAAGAUGGCCCCUGGUG